ACGAAUGGGGCAAGCGUUGUUCGGAAUCACUGGGCUUAAAGCGUGCGUAGGCGGCUAUGAAAGUCAGGAGUGAAAUCCCAGGGCUUAACCCUGGAAUUGCUUUUGAAACUCCAUAGCUAGAAUCCGGGAGAGGUUAGCAGAAUUCCGAGUGUAGAGGUGAAAUUCGCAGAUAUUCGGAGGAAUACCAGUGGCGUAGGCGGCUAACUGGACCGGCAUUGACGCUGAGGUACGAAAGCGUGGGUAGCAAACAGGA
rnacentral:rRNA from 1 species